rnacentral:rRNA from 1 species
GUGGGGAAUCUUGCGCAAUGGGCGAAAGCCUGACGCAGCCAUGCCGCGUGAAUGAUGAAGGUCUUAGGACUGUAAAAUUCUUUCACCGGGGACGAUAAUGACGGUACCCGGAGAAGAAGCUCCGGCUAACUUCGUGCCAGCAGCCGCGGUAAUACGAAGGGGGCUAGCGUUGCUCGGAAUUACUGGGCGUAAAGGGCGCGUAGGCGGACAGCUUAGUCAGAGGUGAAAGCCCAGGGCUCAACCUUGGAAUUGCCUUUGAUACUGGCUGUCUUGAGUUUGGGAGAGGUGAGUGGAACUCCGAGUGUAGAGGUGAAAUUCGUAGAUAUUCGGAAGAACACCAGUGGCGAAGGCGACUCACUGGCCCAAUACUGACGCUGAGGCGCGAAAGCGUGGGGAGCAAACAGGAUUAGAUACCCUGGUAGUCC